CGGAGCUGCAGUGGCUGUCUUUCUACCAGAGUGCUGCUCUCCUAGUGAGCCGAGGCGAAGAGAGAAGCCCUUCUGUAACUGCUCUGCCAAGGCCUGUCUCUUUUGAUGGUGUGGCUGCCUUGGGAGACUUAGAGGCUCAGGGCGUGCACGGCAUUGAGGGAGAUAACCACAUUCUGCCAAGUCUCAGGCUGUUGCCUGAGCCUAAAUAUGCAUGAUGACAACACAUACAGAGAGACACAUGGUCAAAGGCAACUGUUAGGGGAAUGUCAAGCAUUGAUGUGCUGUUCCAUUGUGCGAUCAUUUUUUUUUCCCAAGAGAGGUGAGAGGGUAUAGGUAUUUCUCUGUUUCUCCUUAGAUUUAUGUUUAAAAUUGUGUUUAAAAUUAAGCGCUUCCAAAGAGGAUAGACUAGAAAAAUUUCCCUAAAAGCAGCAACCUGGCUGUUUUGCUUGCUUAUGUCUCUUACCUUGGGUGUGAUAAUGCCCUGAUGUCUUACUGUGGUAUAUGUUCAUAGAAUCACAGAAUCAUAGACUGGUUGCCCUUGUAAAAAGUCCGUCUCCAGCUUUUUUAUAGGUUCACUUUAGGUACCAGAAGGCAGUUAUAAAGUCUCCCUUGACCCUUCUCCAGGCUGAACAACCCCAACUCUCUCAGUGUGUCUGCAUAGGAGAGGUGUACCAGCCCUCUGAUCAUCUUCGUGGCCUCCUCUGGACUCACUUGAGAAGAUCCACAUCCUUCUUGUGUGGAGUCCCCAGAUGUGGAUGCAGUACUGCAGUAGCAUCCAGAGCCAUGACCUGCCUCUGUCAUCUUAAACUCAAAAUCAGCAACAGAAUUCUGGCUGGAGCACGUCAAAACAUAUUGUCUUGAAUACUGCCCCAGCCAUCCAUCCAGCACCAUCAACAGACUGAACUCGCUCGCAUUCGUGAGCAGAUCUCCCUGAAGUAUUUGAAGCACUGGGAAGGGUUUCUGUGCUUCCUAGAUGACAAGAAUGUUUUUGACAGACGUAUUAUUUUGGGGCUUGCUACAAAAACAUGGACUUUUGUAGUUCUGAUUCUGUAGUUACAACUUGUACUUGAGCCCUGCUACUUGUACAAUUUGUACUUGAGCCCUACUACUGUACCACUAAGCAGAGUCGGCAGAGGUACAGACUUAUUUGCUAAACUCAGUUGCAAAAUAAAGUUGAUAAGUAAA